rnacentral:lncRNA from 1 species
CCUAAGAUAGUAUGAGAAAGUUCUGAUCUUGACAGUUCACGUAACAUUCAAUCAAUUAUACCAUUGCUCUAUCUCUAAAGUUUUCUUUUUCUCCUUUUCUCAGUGUCUUACCAAGAAUGAAAGGCAACCUAUGUAAAAACUAUGGGCUUUCUAGUAUAAAUAAAAACUACUCAUCUCCAGAAAAUAAACAAUGACUGCUAAGAUGAUUGAAAAAAGAAAGGAGAAGAAAGUAGCUUGUAAAAGCGUGUGAAAUGCAUUCACGUUGGAAUCUCCUACAGGCACUUCAGGUCUUCAGACUGUAAACAUUUUAAGUGUGAUUGCUGUGAAUGAAGGAAACCCAGAGCCAUCAUGACAAGCCUAAACUCAAAGGGGACUGAUUUCUUCUACACUGAAUGUUUCAUUAGUGACAGGGCCCAGAUAAUAAAGAAUUGUGCUCACUUCCUGUGGGUCAAAGACUACCGAUGUCCAGAUCAUAAUGCGAGGACAGUUUGAGCCCAGUGCUCUCUGACUGAGGUAGAACCCCCGGGAAGGUGAAGAGGGCAGCCGUCUGCGAAACAGCCCAGCAUUUAAGAAUGGGCAGCACCUGGCCAGGUGCAUUUGAGAACUAGGAAUGUGGCAACAAUAACAUUUAUUUAUUUGGAUGAAGAGAAGAAGAUGUAUUGGAUUCCC